rnacentral:lncRNA from 1 species
GGGAGGACAACGAAGGAGAAGCUUGCGUGUUGGUAUGUGAAGAAGGCCAGACUUCUAGAGAGGCCUACAACGACGAGGAAGACGAUGGGAUGACAGACAUUGAAGAAGAAAUCGAUCUAGAAGCAGAAAGAAAAAAGAGAGGAGUAUCGCGCAAUACUCUGUUUAAGCAACUACAUCAAGAGGGAGUUCGCGAAGUAGACUUGUUGGG